CACGCAGGCGGUCUGUUAAGUCAGAUGUGAAAUCCCCGGGCUUAACCUGGGAACUGCAUUUGAAACUGGCAGGCUUGAGUCUCGUAGAGGGGGGUAGAAUUCCAGGUGUAGCGGUGAAAUGCGUAGAGAUCUGGAGGAAUACCGGUGGCGAAGGCGGCCCCCUGGACGAAGACUGACGCUCAGGUGCGAAAGCGUGGGGAAGCAAACA
rnacentral:rRNA from 1 species